UUUAUGUUAACUAAUUUUUCCAUGAUUCUUAGCUUGUCUAAAUUCUGCAUGGGAAUUAAUAAUGGUCAUUAUCUCAACAUUUGCAGUGCCAUAGCUAUCUAUCACUGUGGUAGACUUGUUAAAAACAACCAUGACAUGGGAAGCUAGUUAGCACUAAAUGAUAGCAAACUAUUUAGCAUAUCUAGUUUUAAUUAUGGGCAGACUGGACAUUCAGGACAUCAGGCAGUGCAG